GACGUAGGGCGCGAGCGUUGUCCGGAUUUACUGGGCGUAAAGGGCGCGUAGGCGGCCACUGCAAGUCGGUUGUGAAAUCUCCGGGCUUAACCCGGAAAGGUCAAUCGAUACUGCAGGGCUAGAGUGCGGAAGGGGCAACUGGAAUUCUCGGUGUAGCGGUGAAAUGCGUAGAUAUCUGGAGGAACACCGGUGGCGAAGGCGGCAUCCUGGACCGGCAUUGACGCUGAGGCGCGAAAGCCAGGGGAGCAAACGGGG
rnacentral:rRNA from 1 species